rnacentral:rRNA from 1 species
GUGAACGCUGGCGGUAGGCCUAACACAUGCAAGUCGAACGGCAGCACAGUAAGAGCUUGCUCUUACGGGUGGCGAGAGGCGGACGGGUGAGGAAUACAUCGGAAUCUACUUUUUCGUGGGGGAUAACGUAGGGAAACUUACGCUAAUACCGCAUACGACCUACGGGUGAAAGCAGGGGAUCUUCGGACCUUGCGCGAUUGAAUGAGCCGAUGUCGGAUUAGCUAGUUGGCGGGGUAAAGGCCCACCAAGGCGACGAUCCGUAGCUGGUCUGAGAGGAUGAUCAGCCACACUGGAACUGAGACACGGUCCAGACUCCUACGGGAGGCAGCAGUGGGGAAUAUUGGACAAUGGGCGCAAGCCUGAUCCAGCCAUACCGCGUGGGUGAAGAAGGCCUUCGGGUUGUAAAGCCCUUUUGUUGGGAAGGAAAAGCAGCAGGUUAAUACCCCGCUGUUCUGACGGUACCCAAAGAAUAAGCACCGGCUAACUUCGUG